UACGAAGGGUGCAAGCGUUACUCGGAAUUACUGGGCGUAAAGCGUGCGUAGGUGGUUCGUUAAGUCUGUCGUGAAAGCCCCGGGCUCAACCCUGGAAUGCCGGUGGAUACUGUCGGGCUAGAGUCCGGAAGAGGAGAGUGGAAUUCCUGGUGUAGCGGUGAAAUGCGCAGAUAUCAGGAAGAACACCCGUGGCGAAGGCGGCUCUCUGGGACGGUACUGACGGCUGAGACGCGAAAGCGUGGGGAGCGAACAGG
rnacentral:rRNA from 1 species